UGCGUAGACGGUUGCGUAAGUCGGAUGUGAAAUCCCCGGGCUCAACCUGGGAAUUGCAUUCGAGACUGCGUAGCUGGGGUGCGGAAGAGGGAAGCGGAAUUUCCGGUGUAGCGGUGAAAUGCGUAGAUAUCGGAAGGAACAUCAGUGGCGAAAGCGGCUUCCUGGUCCAGCACCGACGUUCAGGCACGAAAGCGUGGGGAGCAAACAGGAUUAGAUACCCUGGUAGUCCACGCCAUAAACGAUGAGAACUAGACGUUGAGAGGGUAAGCCUCCCAGUGUCGUAGCUAACGCGCUAAGUUCUCCGCCUGGGGAGUACGGCCGCAAGGUUGAA
rnacentral:rRNA from 2 species